UACGAAGGGGGGCUAGCGUUGCUCGGAAUUACUGGGCGUAAAGGGCGCGUAGGCGGCACUGUUAGUCAGGCGUGAAAUUCCUGGGCUCAACCUGGGGACUGCGCUUGAUACGGCAGAGCUUGAGGAUGGAAGAGGGUCGCGGAAUUCCCAGUGUAGAGGUGAAAUUCGUAGAUAUCGGGAGGAACACCAGUGGCGAAGGCGGCGAUCUGGGUAGAUACUGACGCUGAGGUGCGAAAGCGUGGGGAGCAAACAGG
rnacentral:rRNA from 1 species